GAGAAGAACGUAGCGAAAUGCGAUAAGUAGUGUGAAUUGCAGAAUUUAGUGAAUCAUCGAAUCUUUGAACGCACAUUGCGCCCUUUGGUAUUCCUUAGGGCAUGCCUGUUCGAGCGUCAUCUACACCCUCAAGCACAGCUUGGUGAUGGGCGCCUGUCCCGCCCCCCACGGGGGCGCGGACUCGCCUCAAAUGCAUUGGCGGCCGGCGACCUGGCUUCGAGCGCAGCAGAAACGCGUACUCGGGGACCGGGCGCCCGCUCCCAGAAGCCAACCCACCCAGUUUGACCUCGGAUCAGGUAGGGAUACCCGCUGAACUUAAGCAUAUCAAUAAGCGGAGGA
rnacentral:misc_RNA from 1 species